GAGUCUGACACGCAAAACAUGAGCUAGACAAUUUUUAGACAUUCUUCAUAUAGCCACACCAAAAUAUAUGUCAAAUGUCAGUACAUGAAUUGUCAUUUGCAUAAAACGUGUUUACUUUUUUGCUGCGAAAUUAUUUUAAACCAUUAAAUAUGAAGACUCCUAUUAAGAAUGAGGCUAGAAGGCUAAUAUUCAAUAUGAUUAAUAAAUUUGAUGUGAAAAAUAAAGACAAUGAACAGAUUUUCAAUGUAAAAGACCAAUGUUUGGUUACAAUCUUGGAAGCCAUUGAAUGGAAUAAUUGUAUAGAACACCUCAUAAAAAACGAAAAUAAUUAUGUUGAAAAAGAUAACAUUCUUGAAACGCAACUGGAAAGUUUUACUAUAAAUGUAAAAGAUGAUAGUAGUGAUAGUGACGAAUCUCUUGAAGUAGUUUUUUAGAUUCCGAUUUUGAUUACGAAUCACAAUAAAUAAUGUUAUAAUAA